ensembl:lncRNA
CCGAAACUUGGUCUCCCCAUGUCGUUCUUUCUCUCACCUUCUGGCUGAAUUAUUCAGCCUCUUUUCUCCACUGAAUUUCCUCACUGAGCUGUCUUUAUUCUAUUACUCUUUAUAUCCUUAAUUAACGUUUAAUUAAGCAGUUGUUUCCUGAUCCUCGCCGACGCCGUCCCCGCUUCGAAUUCCCUGGAUCCACCGGGGCUGGACCCCGGCACUGGACUGGACCAUGUGAUUCUCAGGCCGUAUCCAGAUAUAUAUGUUCCCAGGGCGUCACUCUGCCCUCUGCCAUCAUCCGUCUUGGGAACCAGAGUUGGACGUCAAUCCCCAUAAGCCACAGGGGGCGGUCUGUGUCUGGGCUGGUCUUUCCACUGGACGGAGCCGAGGGCAGCCUAGCUGUGGACCUUUUCCGGGAGAUCAGUCCCUACUCACCCACUCUCCGCCCCUUCCCAAACCACAAACAUGAGGCAGACAGAGCGAAGAGGAACAGCUAGGAAAAUAGCGCAAAGCUCUCCCACGGGGGCCGGCACGUGAGGGCACAACGUCUUCAGGUUCUGCAAAGCUCCCGUAAUCCACCUUAACGCCUAGAGCAAGAUCCAUGCCCUGUGACUAAUUCCGGAGGUCAAAGUCCUGUGAGUCUCACUGGCGAAGAUCAAGGUGUUAACAGGACUGCAUUCCUUGUGAAGCCUUCAGGGAGAGUGCGUCUCCUCAACCUUAUUUACCUUCUGGAGAGUGAAACCAUCUUCUUGGGACAUUUUUACUGAGAAUUGAGGACUGAUACUUACUUGAGACAACUGUUUCAGAGAAUCCCAGAGACCCCAAAGUCCUGCAGAUCUGGGCUGUGUUUGGAUUUGCCGUGAAUUUCUCAGCUAC